rnacentral:rRNA from 1 species
UACGGUAGGGUCCGAGCGUUGUCCGGAAUUAUUGGGCGUAAAGGGCUCGUAGGCGGUCUGUUGCGUCGGGAGUGAAAACUUACAGCUUAACUGUGAGCGUGCUUUCGAUACGGGCAGACUUGAGGCAUUCAGGGGAGAACGGAAUUCCUGGUGUGAGCGGUGAAAUGCGCAGAUAUCAGGAGGAACACCGGUGGCGAAGGCGGUUCUCUGGGAAUGUCCUGACGCUGAGGAGCGAAAGUGUGGGGAGCGAACAGG